AACGAACGCUGGCGGCAUGCCUAACACAUGUAAGUCGAACGAAGUCUUCGGACUUAGUGGCGCACGGGUGCGUAACGCGUGGGAAUCUGCCCUUGGGUGCGGAAUAACUUCUCGAAAGGGAUGCUAAUACCGCAUAAUGUCGUAAGACCAAAGAUUUAUCGCCCAAGGAUGAGCCCGCGUAAGAUUAGCUAGUUGGUGGGGUAAAAGCCUACCAAGGCGACGAUCUUUAGCUGGUCUGAGAGGAUGAUCAGCCACACUGGGACUGAGACACGGCCCAGACUCUUACGGGAGGCAGCAGUGGGGAAUAUUGGACAAUGGGCGAAAGCCUGAUCCAGCAAUGCCGCGUGAGUGAUGAAGGCCCUAGGGUUGUAAAGCUCUUUUACCAGGGAUGAUAAUGACAGUACCUGGAGAAUAAGCUCCGGCUAACUCCGUGCCAGCAGCCGCGGUAAU
rnacentral:rRNA from 1 species